rnacentral:rRNA from 1 species
GGGGAAUAUUGCACAAUGGGCGAAAGCCUGAUGCAGCAACGCCGCGUGAGUGAUGAAGGUCUUCGGAUUGUAAAGCUCUGUCUUUUGGGACGAUAAUGACGGUACCAAAGGAGGAAGCCACGGCUAACUACGUGCCAGCAGCCGCGGUAAUACGUAGGUGGCGAGCGUUGUCCGGAUUUACUGGGCGUAAGGGUGCGUAGGCGGAUGUUUAAGUGAGAUGUGAAAU